CAGCAUUUUGCACAAAGCUGGCAUGUGAAGAGGAAGCCAGUCAUGACAAAUACUACUGAAAUGGCAACAGAGCACAACGUAUAAUGCACAAGAGCAUAUAGAAUGGCAGAGGAGAUAUAAGUGAAUAAGAGGAACUGUAGCAUUUUUUAAACAUGGAAAGCACAGGGAGGAGUGAAACCUAAUUUAUCAGACAAGAAGCUAUCAACCAAUGAGCAUGCAGAAGGUGAAACAAACAAGAGGUGAAUUCUGCCCCUCUUGCUUGCAAGUGGAUACAAGAUUGAAGAACUCAUUGGAUAAGCCAGACAGUCCAGGAGAGAUUCAUAUUUGAGGGAAUCUCAACACAAUGGAUUGGAUAGCUGGACCAUCCUAUCACCUUAAAUAAAGCUACACAUCUGAGUUUCCAAUGAAAGACAAAUACAGGAAAAAAAAAACCCGAAGAGCAGUGAAAACAAAGAUAAUAAUGAAA
rnacentral:lncRNA from 1 species